AGCAGCCGCGGUAAUUCCAGCUCCAAUAGCGUAUAUUAAAGUUGUUGCAGUUAAAAAGCUCGUAGUUGAAUUUCGGGGUUAGUAGGUUGGUCAUGCCUCUGGUAUGUACUGGUCUCACUGAUUCCUCCUUCCUUAUGAACCGUAAUGCCAUUAAUUUGGUGUUGCGGGAAAUUUGGACUGUUACUUUGAAAAAAUUUAGAGUGUUUAAAGCAAGCUAACGCUUGAAUACAUUAGCAUGGAAUAAUGAAAUAGGACGUUCGAUCUUAUUUUGUUGGUUUCUAGGAUUGACGUAAUGAUUAAUAGGGAUAGUUGGGGGGCAUUAGUAUUCAAUUGUCAGAGGCGAAAUUCUUGGAUUUAUUGAAGACUAACUACUGCGAAAGCAUUUGCCAAGGAUGUUUUCAUUAAUCAAGAACGAAAGUUAGGGGAUCGAAGACGAUCAGAUACCGUCGUAGUCUUAACCAUAAACUAUGCCGACUAGGGAUCGGAUGAUGUUAAUUUUUUAAUGACUCAUUCGGCGCCU
rnacentral:rRNA from 1 species